AACAGGCCGCCCAUGUCGUCACAGAAAUUCGAAAUGUAAGCCCAUGCUUGGCUAAUGACCGUUCAGAAAUUCCUUUUUUUAUUCCCAAACAAAAAAAUGACAUCGUUUGGAUGUCUUGCCCUCAAUUUCAUAUUUCAAACCAUAAUUUCCCUCCCCACAUGACCAAACGAUGCGUUUCCUCUUUUCCCUCCCUUAACUUACUGUAAAUCUCGUCAUCCCCCCAUUUGAGCCCUAUCUUGCAGAAAUUUCCAGCAGCAACUCUGAAGACAAUUAAAGAGUGGUGAAAUCGAUAGGGGCAAUUCGUGUCACGUGAACGUUGGACCACCUCGAGUGGUGAGAAGGGGCUUUUGCCAGCAAUCCAAGAGUUGGCUCCAAGAGCAUCUCAUAGGUUUUGUGCAAAGUAUUUGAAGGCGAAUUUGUUCAUAGGUUUUGUGCAAAGUAUUUGAAGGCAAAUUUGUGCAACUCGAAAAACAAAGAGUUGAAGAAUAAGUUUUGGGCUUUUGCCAAGUCAAGGACUAUGCCCGAGUUACAAAAGCAUCUUGAAAAGAUGAAGGAAAUUAAUCAGGAUGCAUGGUCCUACCUCAGUAAACUGGAGCCAAAAUCAUGGUCAAGAACAGGUUUUACGUCCUUCACUAAAAACCAAAGUCUGUUGAACAACAUGUUAGAGCAAUUCAACUCUGCAAUUGUGAAGUAUAGAUGGAAACCUGUCAUUACUAUGUUGGAGGAAAUUAGGACAUAUAUUAUGAGAAAGAUGAAUGACAGUAGAGACUUGAUAGCCAAGUACAAGGGUCCAAUCACACUUACGGCUCAAUCAAAGCUUGAGAAAGCCAAGAAGGAUAGCACCUACUGGCAUCCUAUAUGGGCUGGUGAUGGAGAUCAAUCAAUCUAUCAGGUGCAACAUAUCCAUAUGAGUGGUGAGAAGCAUGUGGUUGAUUUGAAGAAGGCUGCUUGCUCAUGCAAAGAAUGGGAUUUAUGUGGAAUCCCAUGCUAGCAUGCAGUGGCUGCUAUGGGCAAAAAUAAUAUCGAGCCUGAGCAACUAGUGCAUCCCUGCUAUUCCAAGGAGACAUGAGAAAGUAUUUAUGCCUCUUAUAUUCAACCAGUGGGGCAAGAGCAGUGAGAUAAGCAAGGCUUAGAACCUGUUUUACCUCCUCAUUACAAGAGGGUGGUGGUCGUCCUAAGAAACAUAGGAAAAAGGACAAUGAUGAGCCAAAGAACCCAUACAAGGCAAAGAUGAAGCACAAGGCCAUAGUAUGUGGAAAGUGUGGUCAAGGAGGCCAUAACAUAAGAACAUGCAAGGGCACAACUAUCAAGCAGAAACAAGCAAAAUGUGCUGCUGGAACAACUACAAACUCAGCCUCAGUUGCCCCCACCCAACCCACUCAGACUCAAUUAUCUGGCCCACAAUCACUUUUAACACAAGAGAAGAGAAAGAAGAGAGCCAAGAAAUCUGUUGGAAGUGCUACUAACCCAACCUCAAAUUCUCGGACCAUAAGUGAUAACAUGGAAUCCUCUCAGACUCAGGAAACUGGACCAAGAUCUUAGACUCAACAAAUUGGAAAUAAGAAGGUUUGAUGCUGAACUCAUAUGCAUUUGAAACAUCUUUGGUUAUUGUUGUAUUUAGUUAGCUGGCACUGUCUCAUUAUAAGGAAAGAAGUCAGAUAGGGCUUAGACUUGGCUCGAAGCAAUUGGAAUUCAAGCUGCAAUAUGGAUUUUAGAAAGAAGUGCACAAAUUAGUUUUUUCUGAGUAGUAUAGCUUUUGGUAUAUUGGGUAUGGGAGAACAAUUGUGUAUUUGGAAACCUUUAGCCUUUUGGUAUAUUAGGGAAUAGUAUAUUUGGUCCGCAUUUUGGCUUUUGGUAUAUGGACCAAUGAUUUGUGCACAACAUGUGCCAUAUAAAAUGGUUGAAAUACCUGUUACUGGUAUAUUAGAAGUUUAAUUUUGUACAUUAUUGUUGCCCUUUUGG